AACGAACGCUGGCGGCAGGCCUAACACAUGCAAGUCGAACGCAUCCUUCGGGAUGAGUGGCAGACGGGUGAGUAACGCGUGGGAAUCUACCUAUCUCUACGGAACAACACAUAGAAAUGUGUGCUAAUACCGUAUACGCCCUUAGGGGGAAAGAUUUAUCGGAGAUAGAUGAGCCCGCGUUGGAUUAGCUAGUUGGUGAGGUAAUGGCUCACCAAGGCGACGAUCUAUAGCUGGUCUGAGAGGAUGAUCAGCCACACUGGGACUGAGACACGGCCCAG
rnacentral:rRNA from 1 species